CUACAACACGAAACUGCCUGAA
rnacentral:miRNA from 17 species